CGUGGGUGACGAAGGCCUUCGGGUUGUAAAGCCCUGUUACCUACUAUGAACCGCCGGCGGUGAAUAGCUGUCCGGUCUGACGUAACUAGGAGAGGAAGCACCGGCUAAAUACGCGCCAGCAGCCGCGGUAAUACGUAUGGUGCGAACGUUGUUCGGAAUCACUGGGCAUAAAGAGCACGUAGGCGGUCUGGUAAGUCCGGUGUGAAAUCCCUCGGCUCAACCGAGGAACUGCACCGGAUACUGCCAAACUAGAGUGCAGAAGGGGAGAGCGGAAUUCCUGGUGGAGCGGUGAAAUGCGUAGAUAUCAGGAGGAACGCCGGUGGCGAAAGCGGCUCUCUGGUCUGUAACUGACGCUGAGGUGCGAAAGCCAGGGGAGCGAACGGGAUUAGAUACCCCGGUAGUCCUGGCCCUAAACGAUGGGCACUAGGUAGAGGAAGCUCCGAUGUUUUCUCUGCUGGAGCUAAUGUUUUAAGUGCCCCGCCUGGGGAGUAUGGUCGCAAGGCUA
rnacentral:rRNA from 1 species